GACGAACGCUGGCGGCGUGCUUAACACAUGCAAGUCGAACGAAGUGGCGAACGGGUGAGUAACGCGUGAUCAACCUGCCCUUCAGAGGGGGACAACAGUUGGAAACGACUGCUAAUACCGCAUACUGAAGGAGGGGUUUGCGUCUGAUUAGCUAGUGGGAGGGGUAACGGCCCACCAAGGCGAUGAUCAGUAGCCGGUCUGAGGGGAUGAACGGCCACAUUGGGACUGGGACCCGGGCCAGACUCCUACGGGAGGGAGCAGUGGGGAAUUUUCCGCCAUGGACGAAAGUCUGACGGAGCAACGCCGCGUGAGUGGUGACGGCCUUCGGGUUGUAAAGCUCUGUUAAUCGGGACGCGGUACCGGCAUAGAAAGCCCCGGCUAACUACGUGCCAGCAGCCGCGGUAAUAC
rnacentral:rRNA from 1 species